AGGCCACUGCUAUGGGGGUCCGACUAAGCCAUGCGAGUCAUGGGGCGCGCUCUGCGCGCACCGGCGGACGGCUCAGUAACACGUCGGUAACCUACCCUCGGGAGGGGGAUAACCCCGGGAAACUGGGGCUAAUCCCCCAUAGGCCUGAGGUACUGGAAGGUCCUCAGGCCGAAAGGGGCUUUGCCCGCCCGAGGAUGGGCCGGCGGCCGAUUAGGUAGUUGGUGGGGUAACGGCCCACCAAGCCGAAGAUCGGUACGGGCCAUGAGAGUGGGAGCCCGGAGAUGGACACUGAGACACGGGUCCAGGCCCUACGGGGCGCAGCAGGCGCGAAACCUCCGCAAUGCGGGCAACCGCGACGGGGGGACCCCCAGUGCCGUGGCAUCGCCACGGCUUUUCCGGAGUGUAAAAAGCUCCGGGAAUAAGGGCUGGGCAAGGCCGGUGGCAGCCGCCGCGGUAAUACCGGCGGCCCGAGUGGUGGCCGCUAUUAUUGGGCCUAAAGCGUCCGUAGCCGGGCCCGUAAGUCCCUGGCGAAAUCCCACGGCUCAACCGUGGGGCUUGCUGGGGAUACUGCGGGCCUUGGGACCGGGAGAGGCCGGGGGUACCCCUGGGGUAGGGGUGAAAUCCUAUAAUCCCAGGGGGACCGCCAGUGGCGAAGGCGCCCGGCUGGAACGGGUCCGACGGUGAGGGACGAAGGCCAGGGGAGCGAACCGGAUUAGAUACCCGGGUAGUCCUGGCUGUAAAGGAUGCGGGCUAGGUGUCGGGCGAGCUUCGAGCUCGCCCGGUGCCGAAGGGAAGCCGUUAAGCCCGCCGCCUGGGGAGUACGGCCGCAAGGCUGAAACUUAAAGGAAUUGGCGGGGAGCACUACAAGGGGUGGAGCGUGCGGUUUAAUUGGAUUCAACGCCGGGAACCUCACCGGGGGCGACGGCAGGAUGAAGGCCAGGCUGAAGGUCUUGCCGGACACGCCGAGAGGAGGUGCAUGGCCGCCGUCAGCUCGUACCGUGAGGCGUCCACUUAAGUGUGGUAACGAGCGAGACCCGCGCCCCCAGUUGCCAGUCCUCCCCGCUGGGGAGGAGGCACUCUGGGGGGACCGCCGGCGAUAAGCCGGAGGAAGGAGCGGGCGACGGUAGGUCAGUAUGCCCCGAAACCCCCGGGCUACACGCGCGCUACAAUGGGCGGGACAAUGGGAUCCGACCCCGAAAGGGGAAGGGAAUCCCCUAAACCCGCCCCCAGUUCGGAUCGCGGGCUGCAACUCGCCCGCGUGAAGCUGGAAUCCCUAGUACCCGCGCGUCAUCAUCGCGCGGCGAAUACGUCCCUGCUCCUUGCACACACCGCCCGUCACUCCACCCGAGCGGGGUCUGGAUGAGGCCUGAUCUCCCUUCGGGGAGGUCGGGUCGAGUCUGGGCUCCGUGAGGGGGGAG
rnacentral:rRNA from 1 species